AUUGAACGCUGGCGGCAGGCCUAACACAUGCAAGUCGAACGGUAACAGGAAGAAGCUUGCUUCUUUGCUGACGAGUGGCGGACGGGUGAGUAAUGUCUGGGAAACUGCCUGAUGGAGGGGGAUAACUACUGGAAACGGUAGCUAAUACCGCAUAACGUCGCAAGACCAAAGAGGGGGACCUUCGGGCCUCUUGCCAUCGGAUGUGCCCAGAUGGGAUUAGCUAGUAGGUGGGGUAACGGCUCACCGAGGCGACGAUCCCUAGCUGGUCUGAGAGGAUGACCAGCCACACUGGAACUGAGACACGGUCCAGACUCCUACGGGAGGCAGCAGUGGGGAAUAUUGCACAAUGGGCGCAAGCCUGAUGCAGCCAUGCCGCGUGUAUGAAGAAGGCCUUCGGGUUGUAAAGUACUUUCAGCGGGGAGGAAGGGAGUAAAGUUAAUACCUGUGCUCAUUGACGUUACCCGCAGAAGAAGCACCGGCUAACUCCGUG
rnacentral:rRNA from 1 species